rnacentral:misc_RNA from 1 species
GCUGAAGAACGCAGCGAAAUGCGAUACGUAAUGUGAAUUGCAGAAUUCAGUGAAUCAUCGAAUCUUUGAACGCAUAUUGCGCUCUCUGGUAUUCCGGAGAGCAUGCUUGUUUGAGUAUCAGUAAACACCUCAACUCCCUUUUCUUUUUUGAAAUUGGAGCUGGACUUGAGUGAUCCCAACGCUUUCUUCCAAGAAAGUGGCGGGUUGCUUGAAAUGCAGGUGCAGCUGAACUUUUCUCUGAGCUAUAAGCAUAUCUAUUUAGUCUGCCUAAAAAACAGAUUAUUACCUUUGCUGCAGCUAACAUAAAGGAGACUAGUUCUUGUGCUGACUGAUGCAGGAUUCACAGAGACAGCUUCGGCUGACUUUGUAAACUCGAUCUCAAAUCAAGUAAGACUACCCGCUGAACUUAAGCAUAUCAAUAAGCGGAGGA